rnacentral:misc_RNA from 1 species
UUUCCGUAGGUGAACCUGCGGAAGGAUCAUUAAAGAGUAAGGGUCUUCGGGCCCAACCCCCACCCCUUUUUUUAAUUACCAUGUUGCUUUGGCGGGCCCGUCUCACGACCGCCGGAAGUUUGGCUUCGACCAAACUUCUGGCCCGUGCCCGUCAGUGGCCCCUUCAAAUUCUUGAUCAAGUAUGAUGUCUUAGUUAAAAACUUAAUAGUUAAAACUUUCAACAACGGAUCUCUUGGUUCUG